ACAGUACAAACUGAGCAGGCGAUGAAUCAAGAUAUUCUCUGAUUCAUGGGGCUGGGCCGUUUAUACGGCAGCAGAUGAGUGUUACACAUCUGUGGGACAGU
rnacentral:ncRNA from 1 species